AUAGCAUAGCUACUUGCAUCAUUGUAAAUAUGAUGCAAGAUCGACUAUGUCGAAUAAAAUUCUAGGUAGAAUUAUGAUAAUGACAUUGUCUGCCUAUGUGUCUUGACCAAAUUACGUGCCAGCAGUCGCGGUAAUACGUAGAAGACUAGUGUUAUUCAUGUUUAAUCGGUUUAAAGGGUACCUAGACGGUAAAUCAAGCCUAAAAGGAAAUAAAUGAAGGGACUAAUUUACUAGAGUUACUUAUGAGGGGGUAUUAAAGUACUGCUGGUGUAGAGAUGAAAUUCUGUCAUACCUCUUUUCAAUAGAAAAAUAAUGGCACAGGUAUAGGCGAAAGCAUCCCCUUAUGUGAUAACUGACGUUGAGGGACGAAGGCUUUGUGUAGCGAACAGGAUUAGAUACCCCAGUAGUCAAAGCAGAAAAUGAUGAAUGUCAUAGAUUAGAUAUAUAAGUUUAUUCUAUAAAUGAAAGUGUAAGCAUUCCACCUCAAGAGUAAUUUGGCAACAUUGGAACUGAAAUCAUUAGACCGUUUCUGAAACCAGUAGUGAAGUAUGUUGUUUAAUUUGAUGAUCCGCAAAAAACCUUACCACAAUUUGAAUAUUUAUAUCUUUUAUUGUUUUUCUUUUUAACUUUCUUCUGAUUUUCUACUUAAAAGAAAACAAUAACAAGGAAAAAGAGGCAAUAAGAUAUAUUUACAAGCGUUGCACGGCUGUCUUCAGUUAAUGUCGCGAGACUCUGGUUAGUUCCAUUAAUUAACGUAAACCCUUACUUUAUUUUUAUAUAGAGUAGUUCCCCGCUAUAUUGGAUAUGAUAACAGGGACUAAGACAAGUCAUCA
rnacentral:rRNA from 1 species